rnacentral:miRNA from 1 species
CCUGUGUGGCUUUCUGUGUGUGUGUGUGUGUGCCUGACUGACCAUUCUACACACACACACACACACACACACACACACACACACACACACACA